rnacentral:misc_RNA from 1 species
GAUGAAGAACGCAGUGAAAUGCGAUAAGUAAUGUGAAUUGCAGAAUUCAGUGAAUCAUCGAAUCUUUGAACGCACAUUGCGCCCCCUGGUAUUCCGUGGGGCAUGCCUGUCCGAGCGUCAUUACAACCCUCAAGCUCAGCUUGGUGUUGGGCCCCGCCGCCCCGGCGGGCCCUAAAGUCAGUGGCGGUGCCGUCCGGCUCCGAGCGUAGUAAUUCUUCUCGCUCUGGAGGUCCGGUCGUGUGCUCGCCAGCAAACCCCAAUUUUUUACAGGUUGACCUCGGAUCAGGUAGGGAUACCCGCUGAACUUAAGCAUAUCAAUAAGCGGAGGA